rnacentral:rRNA from 1 species
AUGCCGCGUGAGUGAAGAAGGCCUUCGGGUUGUAAAGCUCUUUCGGACAGAAAGAAAUCGCACUGGUUAAUACCUUGUGUGGAUGACGGUACUGUAAGAAGAAGCACCGGCUAACUACGUGCCAGCAGCCGCGGUAAUACGUAGGGUGCGAGCGUUAAUCGGAAUUACUGGGCGUAAAGCGUGCGCAGGCGGUUUUGUAAGACAGACGUGAAAUCCCCGGGCUUAACCUGGGAACUGCGUUUGUGACUGCAAGGCUAGAGUACGGCAGAGGGGGGUAGAAUUCCACGUGUAGCAGUGAAAUGCGUAGAUAUGUGGAGGAAUACCGAUGGCGAAGGCAGCCCCCUGGGUCGAUACUGACGCUCAUGCACGAAAGCGUGGGGAGCAAACAGGAUUAGAUACCCUGGUAGUCCACGCCCUAAACGAUGUCAACUAGGUGUUGGGGGAGGA